UGUAGACAUUUAUAUCCACUGUAGGCCAGAAUGCACUUUCCACAACAUUCUUAAAAGAUCAACAAUACGCAAGACUUUUGGUAUGAAAAUAGUUUAUUAAAAACAAUUCCCUAUCAUUGAAAUACUGGAGAAGAUUUUAUUCCAUGUGUUCCAUUUCAUUAUUUUAAGUUUAAAAUGAUAAACACAUCCUUUCCUAUGCCUUGUUGUAAACAUUUAAGAGUUUAAAAACCAUUUACAGCAAAAAGGGGCCUUUUGUUGUUUCCUGUUGCUAGUCAACAAGUUUUACCUCUUUAAAACAUAAGGGAAAUAUAAACAUUGGGUCAUCGUCACUGUUAAUUACCCCUCACGAUUAACAACAUAUUAAGUGGCAACUGGCAAUGUAAAAAGCAUAUAUACAGCAUGAAGUCUACUCCCCCCACUUCAUCAGGGUUGUGUUCAUCACUGCAAAUGAGGCACAAUGCUUUGCAGUGUAAAACAAAAACUGUUGUUUCCUAUUGGACACAUUCAGCUAGUCCCCACAUGUACAUCAGUUCUCUUAAAUUUGAUGCUGAAUACCACUGAUUUGAGUGUGUGUGCGCGCGCGUUUGCAUCCAAAACCAACAUUCCCACCCAAAGUGGGUGUGGUGACUUCCAUUUCAGGGGUCAGUCACAUGAAAACAUUGGUACAGUCCACAAACUUACAGUCUAGUGCCUCCAAUGCAAUUUGCGUGCAUGCGCGAACGAAUGUUAACACUGACCACUGAUUCUGGUUUAAAAUGUUUAGUCCCCUCUAAACGGUGGUAUAAAAACACAGGCCAGCAUAAUGAAACACGGAGGGAAUAGCGUGAAUGUAUCCAGCAGAAAUUGUUUUUAGUGGCCUAAAGGUGCGGCACUACAGGCUGGGUCAACAGUAGAGCACUAAAGACCUUGGUGAAGAGGCCGUUAUGGACCCACCAACUGUCUUAAGAGACCAGGGGAUACUACCAAAUCAACCUGUCCCAACAACACUCCUCCCUGCUCCCAUUCAUAAGCACUGACUGCUGAAAUGAAUGGACGACUGGAGGAGAGGGGACGAUAAUGACCCAGCUGAAGAGAAUGGAACAUUAUUAAGCACAUUGGAACUACGUUCCAUGGGACUGAAGGCGUUCUGAUUCCUCACAAGCCACAACUCAGAGCCAGUCCUUCACCACCCCGUGGAGGGGGUUGUGUGUCGGCUAUGGGGGUGGAGGGGGUUGGUGGGAUGGAGGGGGCGGGGUGGUGGUUUCUGUACGACCUGUGUAUGCCAUGUUAUACAUGACAAUUCCAUAAGGAGCUGGCGAGGAAACAAACAGACAGGUGCCCAGGCAAAACUCUCUGGGUUUUAUUUGGUUGCCAGCAGCCUAAACCUUCUCUUCCUGGGUGCUCUCUACAGGCUGAGACACAGGUGGUUCUGUAUCAGUCACUUUCACAGCAGGGGCCAAGGGUUCUGAUUCCUUCUGUCGGGAUGGGGAGGGUUCUACAGAGGAAUCUUUUGAAUGUGAAGAAGGUUCUUCAGAGCAUUCCGUCUGGGCAGUAGGAAUAGCUUGCAUGGGUUUUGAGUUGAUGUCAGAGUUCCGGAGCUUGAGAUCCGCAUUCUCUGGUUCUGCCUCUGCUUUGUCUCCAAGGCGAUCAUCUGUGUCCCAACGCGACGUCCUCUCUCUGUUCCUCGGCCGCUUCGGCCUCUCCCCCUCUCCUCCAUCUCUCCUCCCCCGCUCUCCAGCUUCUCCUCGAACUCGUUCCUUCUCCCCAACCUCUCCACCUCUGCCUCUCUCCCUCUCUCCUCCCUCACUCCUCCCGCGCUCCCUCUCUCCUCCGUCUCCUCCCCUCCCUCGUUCUCUGUCUGCAUCAGGACUGCUCCGUCUCUCCCUCCAAUCCCGUCUGUCUCUCUCCCAAUCUCCUCCUCCUCCUCCUCUCGAGUCUCCC
ensembl:lncRNA